ensembl:snoRNA
AGGCACUGCCCCUGAACCUCUGUGCGUCUGGCCGUGCCCACAGGGAUGUAGUGCCAGUGCGAGAGAAGACACAGCUUGUUGAGAUCCAGAGCUGCUUAGAGGACACGAAGUUAUUCCUUUAGCAGCAGGUGAUAUUU